UUGAACGCUGGCGGCAUGGCUAAAACAUGCAAGUCGAACGCGAAAGGUAGCAAUACCGAGUAGAGUGGCGAACGGGCGAGUAAUGCAUUCCUAACGUGCCUCGAGGUCGGGGAUAGCUGUCCGAAAGGACAGGUAAUACCCGAUGAUCCAGCCGGAUCGCAUGAUCUGGCUGGCAAAGGUUUACUGUCUUGAGAUCGGGGAAUGUCCUAUCAGGUAGUUGGUGAGGUAACGGCUCACCAAGCCGAAGACGGGUAGCGGGUGUGAGAGCAUGACCCGCCGCAUCGGGACUGAGACACUGCCCGGACUCCUACGGGAGGCUGCAGUAACGAAUCUUCCGCAAUGCGAGAAAGCGUGACGGAGCAAUGCCGCGUGUGGGAUGAAGCCCUUCGGGGUGUAAACCACUGUCAGGGGUUACCAAAACCGAGGAUCCCCAAAGGAAGAGCCGGCUAACUCUGU
rnacentral:rRNA from 1 species